rnacentral:rRNA from 1 species
UGAGUACGAGCUGCUACGGCAGCGAAGUGGGUGACGUCAAGCUUCCAAGAAAAGCCCUAUACCCGUUAAGGCAUGAUGGCCUGUACCCGAAACCGACACAGGUGGGGUGGUAGAGAAUACCGAGGGGCGCGAGAUAACUCUCUCUAAGGAACUCGGCAAAAUGGCCCCGUAACUUCGGGAGAAGGGGUGCCACCGCAAGGUGGUCGCAGUGAAGAGGCCCAGGCGACUGUUUACCAAAAACACAGGUCUCCGCUAAGUCGCAAGACGAUGUAUGGGGGCUGACGCCUGCCCAGUGCCGGAAGGUUAAGGAAGCUGGUCAGCGUAAGCGAAGCUAGCGACUGAAGCCCCGGUGAACGGCGGCCGUAACGAUAACGGUCCUAAGGUAGCGAAAUUCCUUGUCGGGUAAGUUCCGACCCGCACGAAAGGCGUAACGAUCUGGGCGCUGUCUCGGAGAGAGGCUCGGCGAAAUAGAAUUGUCUGUGAAGAUGCGGACUACGUGCACCCGGACAGAAAGACCCUAUGAAGCUUUACUGUAGCUUGGUAUUGUGCUCGGGCUCGGAAUGCGCAGGAUAGGUGGGAGGCUAUGAACCAUUGCUUGUGGGUGAUGGUGAGCCACUGGUGAGAUACCACUCUUUCCGAGCUAGAGUUCUAACAGCCACCCGUUAUCCGGGGGCUGGACAGUAUCAGGUGGGCAGUUUGACUGGGGCGGUCGCCUCCUAAAAGGUAACGGAGGCGCGCAAAGGUUUGCUCAGGCUGGUUGGAAAUCAGCCGACGAGUGUAAAAGCAGAAGCAAGCUUGACUGUGAGACCUACAAGUCGAACAGGGAGGGAACUCGGCUUUAGUGAUCCGACGGUUCUGCGUGGAAGGGCCGUCGCUCAACGGAUAAAAGUUACUCUAGGAUAACAGGCUGAUCUCCCCCAAGAGUUCACAUCGACGGGGAGGUUUGGCACCUCGAUGUCGGCUCAUCGCAACCUGGGGCUGAAGUCGGUCCCAAGGGUUGGGCUGUUCGCCCAUUAAAGCGGUACGCGAGCUGGGUUCAGAACGUCGUGAGACAGUUCGGUCCAUAUCCGGUGCAUGCGCAGGAAUAUUGAGAGGAUUUCUCCCUAGUACGAGAGGACCGGGAGGAACGCACCUCUGGUGUACCAGUUAUCGUGCCAACGGUAAACGCUGGGUAGCCAUGUGCGGAGAGGAUAACCGCUGAAAGCAUCUAAGUGGGAAGCCCACCUCAAGAUGAGUAUUCCCAUGGGUUAACCCAGUAAGGUCACGGGAAGAACACCCGUUGAUAGGCUCUACGUGGAAGCGCAGUAAUGUGUGAAGCGGAGGAGUACUAAUAGACCGAGGGCUUGAC